rnacentral:rRNA from 1 species
UACGUAGGGGGCUAGCGUUGUCCGGAAUCAUUGGGCGUAAAGAGCGUGUAGGCGGCCCGGUAAGUCCGCUGUGAAAGUCGGGGGCUCAACCCUCGAAUGCCGGUGGAUACUGUCGGGCUAGAGUGCGGAAGAGGCGAGUGGAAUUCCUGGUGUAGCGGUGAAAUGCGCAGAUAUCAGGAGGAACACCGAUGGCGAAGGCGGCUUCCUGGACCGACACUGACGCUGAGGCGCGAAAGCUAGGGGAGCAAACGGG